UACGAAGGGGGCGAGCGUUGUUCGGAAUUACUGGGCGUAAAGGGCGCGUAGGCGGCCGAGCAAGUUAGAUGUGAAAGUCCUGGGCUUAACCUGGGGACUGCAUUUGAUACUGCUUGGCUUGAAUUCGGGAGAGGAUAGCGGAAUUCCCAGUGUAGAGGUGAAAUUUGUAGAUAUUGGGAAGAACACCGGUGGCGAAGGCGGCUAUCUGGACCGACAUUGACGCUGAGGCGCGAAAGCGUGGGGAGCAAACAGG
rnacentral:rRNA from 1 species